rnacentral:rRNA from 1 species
CGGAGCCGUAGCGAAAGCGAGUUUUAACUGAGCGUUCAGUUACUGGACGUAGACCCGAAACCGGGCGACCUACCCAUGAGCAGGAUGAAGCGAAAGUAAAAUGUCGUGGAGGUCCGAACCCACGAGCGUUGAAAAGCUCGGGGAUGACUUGUGGGUAGCGGUGAAAUUCCAAUCGAGCCCGGAGAUAGCUGGUUCUCCCCGAAAUAGCUUUAGGGCUAGCCUCAAGGUGA